GGCUUCCAACUAGGGCUCAUCAAUGUGAAGUAAGCAAAAUGAAUAUUAUUUUGCCAUUUUUUUAAGUGAGCACCCUGGGAGAUGAAGUUGUUUUACAGUCACAGAUUUUUUUUUUACUUCAGUCCAUUUUAUUUUAUUUUUAUUUAACAUAUGAGUUUGCCACUGCCUACUUUUCCUACACUAUGAGAUUCAUCAACUUUACACAACAUUGAAAUUUCAGAUUGUUCCUACUCACCCUCAUCUAAUAUAUCCUUCAUAUAGCAGCCAGACUAUCCUCUUACAAUUCUAACUUUACUCUUUCUCCCCUCAAUAUAAAAGCUUUUAAUGACUUCCUUUGAAUGUAAGAGAAAUAUCCAUAAUUGCCUGAUUAUCUGGUCUUUCUUUCUUUAGCUUCCUUUUCUGUGACUCUUCCUACUCCCAUAAUCUCUUCCCACACUGACCUCCUUUUGGCUCUCAUAUGUACCAAAACAGGCAGGUAUUUGGGUAUAAUUUCU
rnacentral:lncRNA from 1 species